AGUGAACGCUGGCGGCAGGCUUUACACAUGCAAGUCGAACGGCAACGAGGUGAAACUUGCUUCUCUGUCGGCGAGUGGCGAACGCGGGUGUGUAGCAUCUCAACGUGCCAAGUAUUGUGGGAUAACCAAACGAGAGUUUGGCGAAUACCGCGCAAGCUCCAUGGAGGUGAGUAGAGGACCUAAAUAAGGCCUUACGCUAUUUGAUCGGCCGAUGUCGGAUUAGCUAGUUGGUGGGGUAAUGGCUCACCAAGGCAAUGAUCCGUAGCGGGUCUGAGAGGACGAUCAGCCACACUGGGACUGAGACACGGCCCAGACUCCUACGGGAGGCAGCAGUGGGGAAUUUUGGACAAUGGGGGAAACCCUGAUCCAGCCAUGCCGCGUGUAUGAAGAAGGCCUUAGGGUUGUAAAGUACUUUUGUUAGGGAAGAAAAGCUAGUUUUUAAUAAAAAUUAGUGCUGACGGUACCUAAAGAAUAAGCACCGGCUAACUACGUG
rnacentral:rRNA from 1 species